rnacentral:lncRNA from 1 species
ACCUUUUGGUGCAUCGCUUGCACCUACCUUUAUAGUUGCAAGAUAUAACUUGCAAUUUUUUUUCAGUGUCCUGCCUUGCUGCAGUGAAAGCAGGUACCCUAUCUAGAGACUUUCUUCCCCUUCUUCAUCUUGCCACCCUUAGGAUUCAGUACUUUCUUUGAACCCUUAACACCUGACUUCUUCUUAGAGAUUUUAUCCACAAGAAGAAGUGGAGCCUUUUCUUUCUUAAU